rnacentral:ncRNA from 2 species
UUCGCCUUUCGUGGCGCUUUGUUACCGGAUUGCGGGCCACGUUAAACAUGCCGCUAAAGAGGUCGAACGAAAGCCCCU